AACGCAAAUGGCACUCUUGUGUAAGCAAGAGUAUGUCUGUUUGAGAAUCGCAAACCCGAUCUACUCUAGAUAGAGUGAGGUAUUGGCUUUAGGACGCGUAAGCGGUCUUUAGCUUGAAUGUAUUAAGGCUGAUGAGUUCCCAAUGGUGGCCUCAAUGUGUGCUAGCGGACAGAUGUUUCGAUGUCACAUUGACGGUUCCAAUGCAAGCUCUAUAAACGGCCUCCUGCUGCUGCUGGGAGGGGGACGGCGACAUGGUCAAACAUGACGUCAUCACCAUCACGGCAUCAGAUCAUCUAUUACGAUCUCAAAUCAGGCAAGAUUACCCGCUGAACUUAA
rnacentral:misc_RNA from 1 species